rnacentral:rRNA from 1 species
GACGAACGCUGGCGGCGUGCUUAACACAUGCAAGUCGAACGGAAAGGCCCUGCUUUUGUGGGGUGCUCGAGUGGCGAACGGGUGAGUAACACGUGAGUAACCUGCCCUUGACUUUGGGAUAACUUCAGGAAACUGGGGCUAAUACCGGAUAGGAGCUCCUGCUGCAUGGUGGGGGUGGGAAAGUUUCGGCGGUUGGGGAUGGACUCGCGGCUUAUCAGCUUGUUGGUGGGGUAGUGGCUUACCAAGGCUUUGACGGGUAGCCGGCCUGAGAGGGUGACCGGCCACAUUGGGAUUGAGAUACGGCCCAGACUCCUACGGGAGGCAGCAGUGGGGAAUAUUGCACAAUGGGCGGAAGCCGGAUGCAGCAACGCCGCGUGCGGGAUGACGGCCUUCGGGUUGUAAACCGCUUUCGCCUGUGACGAAGCGUGAGUGACGGUAAUGGGUAAAGAAGCACCGGCUAACUACGU